UUCACUGACGAUUUCUAAGUUAAUAAUAGAUUGUGUUCGCUGAAGAUUCUAUGUGUUAGUUGUGAAAUUUGUUUUCGUUGACAAUUUUUGGGUCGAUAACGACCUAGUUUUCACUAACGAUUUGUGUCACCAGCGAUCUAGUUUUUGUUGAUGAUUUUUGUGUCACGACGACCUAGUUUUUUGUUGUUGAUUUAUGUGUCACCAACGACAUAGUUUUUGCUAAUGAUUUUCUGUGACAACAACAACUUUAGUUUCUUUUACAAAUUUCAUGUCAGAAAUAAUUUAAUUCUAGUGAUAAUUUUGUCAUCAGUUUGACCUAACUCACUACAAAACCCAAGAAUUAGACACUAGGAUGUCCAUGGAUAACCCAAGUUUAAAAUUAAAAAAAGUGUCUUGAUAUAAUGACCUUCAUUUUAUGAUUAUAUGAUGUGUGGAGCACUUGAACGUGAACAUGUGUGUUCAUGGGAUAUGUAUGGUAUUGGAUUUAUGUGAUUAUUAAAUACGAAUAUGCUAAUUAGUGAUCAUUUUAUGUGUUAGGUGGUAUGACUAGGAUUGGACUUCCGAUUAGACAAGGACAGUACAUGGGGGAACAUGGACGUCACACAAUUAAGGUGCAUAGGAAUCUAAUCUCACGGGUCUAUAUAUUUUGUUAUAAAUUAUAUAUCUGUAUGUUAAGAUGUUAUGUAUUUUGUUUGAAUAAAUGUAUUAGCUGUGAAAUUGUCGUUGAACAUUUUUGUAAAGACUUGUAAUGAUAACUAUAUCAAAACAUGAAUGUAAACUUAUGAAUAUGUAAAUAUAAUGAUAUAGUGCUCUGAUUA